rnacentral:lncRNA from 1 species
AGGUGUCUAUGUUUGUGCAGAUGACUCAAAAUCCAGAAGAAGAGGCUAGCUCCCCUUGAGCUGGAGUUACAGGCAGUUGUAAGCUUCUGUUGGUGUUGCUAAGAAUGAAAUUUGGGUCCUCGAGAAGAGCAGCUCUUAACUGCUAAGCCCCUGCCUGUGUAAUUAUUACAGUUACAAGUGAUAUUGGAUACUGCCACUCUCACAAAGUACUUAGGAUCAGAAGAUAAAUGGGUGGAAUUAGAAGAGAUCACAUUGAGUGAGAUAAUCCAGAUUCAGAAAGACAAGGAUCACAUUUGCUCUCAUCUGUGGCUCCUAAUUCCAAAAUUUCAAGUGAAUGAUGGUGCUCAUAUGAAAUGCAAGCUGUACCAGAGGCUGAUGGAGGAUAGCAAAGUUGGGGCCAGUUUCGACAACUUGAAAAUCAAAGCAUACCUACAGUAACCACAUGGCUCCAUUGGCUGAAAUGAACUCUAUUGUUGUGUGGCUCAGAGACAGGAAAGAAAGGCAACGGCAGUGCUUCUCUAAGAGAAAGUUCUCGGAGACAGGCCCCAAAGACCUGCUGGCACAACAGAAAGGAACAUUUCAAGAAUCAAUCAUCAAAGGACUCCAAAAAUGGAAGGAUGAAGUUGUCAUUUCAGGGAAAUCAAGACAAC